CUUUCCAUUCACAAACCCUAACAACCACUCCCACUCUCCCGCCGUUGAUCAGCCUGCUCAGUGCUGAAUCUGUUGAUAACGUCCUCAAGGAGCAUCUUCACCACCCCUCUGGUUUCUUCCUACGUCGGUCCGCUGAAACAGCGUGUUUUUACUUCCAUACUGCAGCUGUAACAAGUUCCGGUUCCAGUACUACUGCUGUUCAGACAUCAUCAUCCCUGGUAGUAGCUCCCACUAGAGGGUGUUCCUACUUCCACUGCUGUAGCUGUAACAAGUUGCGGUUCCAGUACUACUGCUGUUUAGACAUCAUCACCCCCAGUAGUAGCUCCCAGUAGAGGAAGAUUUAUCUGUCAUGGUUCACUCAAGGCAGCCACUGGCCCUCAUUCCUAAGGCCAGGUUUCGAAAAAUAUGCUUCAAAACAAGAGCCAUGGGAUUGAAAAAAAUAAAUUUAUGAACUCUCAACUCUGUGGUGUGGAGGCAUGCCUGAUUAUCUCUGAUCGGAAGGGUGAUGAUGAGCGGCCAAUGGAGCCAGUAUUCUGGCCUCCAAACCGAAAAGAGGUGAAGUCUGUUAUCAACUGAUAUAAAAGAAAUAGCAAGAAGACAACAUGACUGAAAACACUGGAAGGCAAUAAAAGUACAGAACCAAAGAACUUGUCUGUGGUUCAGCUGAAGGAAUUACUGAACAGAUGCGAUGAUAAACUUGAAGCGAUGAAUUACCAAAUGGAAACACUGUUCGUGCAGCAAUUUCUAGUGGAAGAACCUGAUGAACCAGUGAUGGAUGAAGAGGAGGAUGCAGCAAGAAAUUGUUGUUGAUUCAUGUGGAUCCUUCUAAGCUGUGAAGCAAAUAAUUCAGCUGCUCAAACAUGCCUUCAUUUUUGUAUCUGGUCCUUUGUAUUAGAAAGUGCCUCACUGUAGGAUGUAAAUGUUUGUCUAUUUUUAGAUUUUCUUGACUGGUUGGGCUUGUUAAUAGGAGGAUGUUUUCUUUUUCUUUUCCUUUUGCCCUUUAUAUACUUACUGCAGGCUGGGUUUUGAUCCCUUCUUUUAUUAGGCCUUUUUCUAAAUAAUUCUAUGUUUG